CCAUAAAAGCGGUGAUCGAAGUGCCGAUGGGUAGCAGAGGCCUCAGAAUCACAGCCAAGGGACCAGACAUGAUUGGAGAGAAGAGGUGGUGUUCAGCACUCCAGGUCCUCACACUCUGGGUAACAAUACGCUGGAGUACCAGAGAGGAGCAGAAAGACAGACACUCCACUGCUAUGGCCCGCUGCGUGCAGACUUCACAAUAAAGGUGAAGUACGGUGGCCCUAAAGACACAGUGAUGCAGUUCAUGUUUUACCAGCCUAUUCGCUACCAGUGGAGGGAAACUGACUUUUUCCCCUGCUCUGUCACCUGUGGAGGCGGUUAUCAGCUCAAUUCGGCUGACUGUAUGGACAUUCGUUACAACAAAUCGGUUGCGGAGCACCUGUGUCACAGCUUCCCAGAGAACACCAAACCCACCCCCAAACUCAAGGAGUGUAACAUGGAUCCCUGCCUUGAAAGGCUGGUUCUGUCUUAUCGAUCUCUGCUGCACACCCUUCAUGACAAAACACAAAGAAUAAAUCUCAAUAAACCAGAAAGUGUCUGUGCAUGAGAUGUCCUGUGUGGAUAAUGGCUUGAAAGGCUAAUG